rfam:Pan troglodytes isolate Yerkes chimp pedigree #C0471 (Clint) chromosome 5, whole genome shotgun sequence.
GCUGGGCGUGGUGUCUCACGCCUGUAAUCCCAGCACUUUGGGAGGCCGAGGCGGGUGGAUCACUUGAGGUCAGGAGUUCGAGACCAGCCUGACCAACAUGGUGAAACUCCGUCUCUA